GUGCUCGCUUUGGCAGCACAUAUACUAAAAUUGGAACAAUACAGAGAUUAGCUUGGCCCCUGUGCAAGGAUGACAUGCAAAUUCAUGAAGCGUUCCAUAUUUUU
rnacentral:snRNA from 1 species